CCCGAAUGCCUAGAAAAGGCUCCACGUUCACCCUCCACCGCAGAAUCAACCACGUGGUUCGGGGAAGGCUGCAGCGAGGGGCUAGGACCGGGAGCGCAGUCUCCGAAGGGAAGUCGUUAAGAGAACAGGGAGCCACUCAGGACUGGAGCCUUUCUAUCCUGGUCUGGGAAAAGCAACCUUAUCAAUCAGGUAUGUCUUGUUAAACAUAGUACCAA
rnacentral:lncRNA from 1 species